AACUUAAUUAAAAGGCCGCAGUAUAUUGACUGUGUUAAGGUAGCGUAAUAAUUAGGUUUUUAAUUAAAAUCUUGAAUGAAUGGUUUAAUAAAAUAAAUGCUUUUUUAAUUAAAAUUAAAAAUUUUAUUUUUAAGUUAAAAAGCUUAAAUUUUUUAAAGGGACGAUAAGACCCUAUAGAAUUUUAUUUAAUUUAUUUUAUUUUUAUAUUUAAUUUAUUAAAUAAAGUUAAAUAAAUUAAAUUUUAUUGGGGUGAUAAUUAAAUUUAUUUAACUUUUAUUAUUUAAUUCAUUUAUAUAUGUAAUUUUGAUCUUUUUUUAUUGAUUAAAAAUUUAAAUUACCUUAGGGAUAACAGCAUAAUUAUUUUAAGAAGUUCUUAUUUUUAAAAUUGUUUAUGACCUCGAUGUUGAAUUAAAUUAAAUAUUUAUAUGAAAAAAUAUAAAAUUUAAGUCUGUUCGACUUUUAAUUAUUUACAUGAUUUGAGUUCAAACCGGUGUGAGCCAGGUCGGUUUCUAUCU
rnacentral:rRNA from 1 species